rnacentral:lncRNA from 1 species
CGGGGAUUCCCCGCCGCCGGCUCCGGGGCCCCACGCAGCCCCUCCGGGAGGCGGCCGCGCGCUCCCUCUCGGGGCGCCCCGGUCCCGCACGAGAGCCGCCGCGGAGCGCGGUCCCGUCCCGAGAGCGGACCCCGGCUUUCCGCCGCGCGGCUCCCGUCGCAGCGCCAUCCCGCCCGCUCCCCGCCGGCGGCGGCCGCUUUCCCGGGGCACGGCGGCGGUGCGGGAGGCGGAGGGGGCGCGCGCGUGUGCCCGUGCCCGGCGGCACCUGCUCGGCUCCCGGCGCGUGCGUGCCUCACACCCCCGCCUCCAGCCCCCGGUGAGCCGCUCCGCGAGCGCUCCGCUCGGCCGUCCCGGCGCCGAGAAAGCCCCCCGCGGGCGCUGUGCUCCAGCCGGGCUCUCCGAGCCGCCCCUGCAGGGCCGGAACGCCGCGCUCCGGCUCUUCCUCCG